rnacentral:lncRNA from 10 species
CCUAGGUAGCAGAAGACAGCACCUGCUGUGAAUCCAGGUUCUACUGGGAAGUCCUAGCUCCUCACCUCUGGUACCUCUUUAUUCUUUCAGCCCUACAGACUGUACUGACACCAUAUAAUUGCUAAUUUCUGAGUUGGCUCAUCAUCCUCAAUUUUAAUCCAUCUGAUGUUUUUAUAACUAGCUCCCUGCAGUAAGUACUUUGUAAUGAACUAUUUGAUGUGAGUCUGUCUUCCCCACUGGAUCCUCAUACACGUGGAAAAUACAGCACUAAAUUUAGUACAUUUUGUAGAGAAUAUUAGUCAUUAGUACUUGCAUUUACCUUCUCUGUUUCUAGAGGUUGGCUUCUUUGCAAAAGGAUUGUUUUGAUUCUGCUUAAUAUUUUGCAUUUUAUAUGAAAACUGACAUAAAUUAAUCUGCAUAAGCAUUAUAAUUUAGCACUUUAUAUUUGGUCAAUACUUUGUAAAUAUUAGUUAGUGAAAGAAACACUAAUUUUUAUAGGAAUGUAAUACAAAACUAUGAACCGGGGUCCACAAAGUUUUUCUGUAAAGGGCCAGUUAGUAAACACUUUAAGCUUUGCAGGCCAUAUAAUCUCUGCCACAACUACUUAACUCUGCUGCUGUACCAUGAAUGCAGUAAUAGACAAUAUGUAAACAAGUGAGCAUGGCUGUGUUCCAAUAAAACUUUAUUUACAAAAAAGGUAGUGGGUUUGAUUUGUCCCACAAACCAUAGUUUAUUGACCCUGCUGUAAACUAUCUAGACUUUUGAUUCCGUAUGCUCCGUUGAUAUCUCAUAUACACACUGCAUGUGUCUAUAUUAUUUUAUAUAAAAGAAAAACAUACAGUUUUCUUCUCCCAAAGUAAGUCAAUUUUUCAAAGAUCUGGUAACGUUUACACUCUCAGUAUUUCAUUCUUUCAAAAGAUUGAUAUCUUAGGGAAAAAAAGGUCAUUAAGCCAAAACAUUAGACCUCAGGGAUAAACCUGCAGAAAAUUGAUUGAGUGAUCAAACCAACUUACUCUUUUGUAAAAGUCUCCCUGCCCUCUUAUUCAGAAGGAUGAAUGAUAUCUCGACAAUGAGCCAGGAUUUUUUAUUUUCAGCAUCAAAUUUUUGUUCUACUUCUCAAACAUUCUCCCCAAAUAUCAAAUACUUAAAAAAUGAAAUUGUUUUAGUCCCACAUAGUUAACAAAGAACAUAUGAACUAUUUACAUUUCCACUAAACUUAGUCAUUUUGAAGGCACAUUCCAGUUUGUUUUAUUUUCCUUAACAUCCAAUUUAGUUUCUGUCUCCUCAUAAAUCAUCAAAUAAUAUUUGCUGAAUAAAUGAACAUAUUAUUCCAAGAUGCUGAAAAUUAUAUGUGAUAUAUAAUUUUACAUCAUAUAGAAUUGAAGUUGGAUAUUUCAUAAAUAUAGAAGUUAAAAAAUUGACUUGUGUUGUCAAAAAAUUCAAAUGAGGAAUCUGUAAAUCUUAAUGUGGAAAGAGGUGCUAACUUAUAUUGAGGUUGAUCUUCUCUUUGAAUUGAAUGGGUUCUCUCUAUCAUGAGCAGACACAUCCAAUAUCCACAGGAAUAUAAUAAUAUUGAGUUAUAUCCUGGGGUUAAACAAAUCUGACAUCAUGGUAGACUUUGACAAAAUUUAAGGUUGAGAUCUCCUUCCAGGUGCCAGAAUGUCAUACAAUAGUCCACAGUAACCAUGCAUGUAGGCAGCCUUAAACAGGCUGCUAGUUCCUAAGUAUCUAAAUUUGUGACAAUUUGUGAAUGAAUCACCAUGCCCUCCAUAGAACUUGGCAACUGGAUCAGCGUUUCUGCAUCUGGCAUUGUACACAAUUUGCAUAUUGUGGAAGUGAAACACUUUGCAAUCUCUGAAGCCCAUCUCAUUAUGGCAUGAUGAGCUCAUAGCCAUGUGCUUUCCAUCUUUAGUUCUAAUUUCAGGGUAGCCGUAGUUAAAACCUAAGGACACACAUACAUAGCUUGUGGAUAAUGAUUGUCUAAACUGUUUUUAGUUUCGUAAACUUAAAAUGUUAAAUUAAGAACAACUUACUAGAGUGGAAAAAAGGACAGGCAAAAGUUUUCCCUCCUUGAUACCAGUUUUUAUAAUAUGAAUAAUUUUAUAAAAGUGCUUCAGUUACUUUUAAUGAGAAAAGUUCCAGGAAUUAGUAUUAAAAUUUAAACUACCUCCAUAAUUUACACUUAG